rnacentral:lncRNA from 1 species
CGAUUGAUCAGUAGUUAUAUGGUGUUGUUCCCUUGUGAGGUUUCUUCAUGAACAGUAUAGUUUGCCUUGUGUUAGCCAGUCAGAGUAUCUGGCUCAUUUGUGCAGCCAGCUAGCAUAGCUGGCAUUUAUACAGUGUUGUUAAAUAUUAUAUCCAUAGGUAUGGAUCAUAUCAUAAGUAGUUUUUUUGGAGGGUUAUAUAGAUUAGAGGUUAUUUCUGUUGCUUUGUAUGGUGCGCCAUAACAUAUUGGUAAUAUUUCUCUCCCAUUAAUACUGAACCUACAUUCACUUGUUCAAAACUGAAGAUGACAUUACACGUUUGUAUGGCAGGACUAAAGAAAGAGAAUUUGAAAGGACCAGACCAGGAUUUAGGGCUAGAAUAUGCUAUUGAUUUUUGAAAGCUGCACCACAAGCUAGGGAAGCCUCCUUAUCAUCCUUGAUUGGUGAAUUGGGAAAUGCUAAGAAAGAUACACCAAAUUACUGCCUUGUAGCUGAGAUUGGAGAAUUAGCGUUAGAACCUAAACCCAAAAUUGAUGACCAGAUGAGGGAGGAGGCGGAACCAGAGGAGUAGGAGAGACAGAAACAGUUCCAGGAUUUUACUAAAUCAUAAUGGAUUCAUGAUUUUCUUUAACACACUCCCAAAUAGCAGCAAACAUUUUUAACAUAACAUAAACUUCAAUACAAAAAUAUUUAUGAAAAUACUAGUGAUAUCACACCCAUCACAUGUCACUGGUAAGAAAAAGGCUGAACAAACCUUCCGUAGUCCUCUUUCUUUGAUGCUGGAACCAAUUGAAAUCCAAACAUAACUGAAACAAAAAUCAACAUUGUCAAAUCCAAAUGCAGUAACAAAUGCUUUUUGUCCGCUUGGAAUGCCCAGGGGACAACACACAGUUCAUUGAUUGGCUGCAGGUGGAGCAGGUUUUGGGGGGGCGGCACGCCACACAACCAGAACACAACGGACCACAGAGACCACUGUGGACACACAAUACAAUGAUGAGAUGCAGAUACCGAAAUGGGUCCACAAGGACCACACCCACCCAAUAGGAGGGUGGGCAGAUAACCUACCAACCAGAUGGAACAACCACUAGAACUUAGAUGCUUAGAUGGGGAGGGAGGUGGAGAAAGAGCAGGGGAGGCAACAGAGCUACAAGCGAGUCAGGACAUAGAGAUUAAACACCACGUACUGCGCAGUUACACCUGGGCCCCGACAUAUAGGGCCCCCCCGACAUGUAACUUAAGGGAACACGGCUCCUCCAGGAUCACACUAGACUCACCAGGGAUGACAAUAUGCACAUACAUGAGGAACAAACAGGACCAAGAGGCAGGGAGACCUGGCAAUACAUUCCUGAGGCCCCGAAGGCACCCACACACUCAGAGACAUACAAGCCCCAAGAUUACACUUGGCAAAUACACUAAGGACCUACAACCAAUGCCUGACAGUCAGGGGAACACACACCGCAACCCAAGGGAGACCUACAACUCGCACACCUAAGCCGAACAGACGUUAAAACUACACACAGACCACACACACAAAAUGAAUCUCCCUGACACAAAUAAGGACACAGACAGGCCCUGGGUAAUUGAAAGCUCUAUUCCAGGCCCGCGACCAACGGAGCCCGCGACAAAGAGCAGUCCUAUUCCCCGCUGCAUACACAGGGGGAAAAAACAGGAUUGAUCUCUGAGUAUGCAUCCAAAUAGUCACCACAUACAAAGAGACACCGAAGACAUGACUCUAGAUACCUUGAUAUGCAUGCACAAAUGUCAAGCAAUAACUGUCUGCACCCCCUGCCCCAUCGAUAUUAAACGAUACCUAGGACCUGUGAGGCCAAUUGGCACAUGUAUCCCUUACAGACACUCUCAAACGGACCUGUCAGGGUAAUGCUAGCACGAGUACCAAUAGAGGGUCAGAUCAGCACGCCCAUACUCUGUAGUUUGCAAUGCCUGAAAAACAACAUGCGAGAGUAGAUGUAGAUAGACAUCAACCGCAGACAGAUAGGUCAUAUUGAAAGUGCCUCUCAUUUGUUAAAGGACCACUAUAGUGCCAGGAAAACAUACUCCCGUGGCGCUGAGGGGGGAGGAAGGGGUUAAACUUACCUAUUUCUCCAGAGCUCUCCUCCUCCUCUCCUCCUCGUCGGCUGAAUGCGCAUGCGCGGCAGGACCUGCGUGCACAUUCAGCCAGUCUCAUAGGAAAGCAUUUACAAUGCUUUCCUAUGGACGCUGGCGUCUUCUCACUGUGAUUUUCACAGUGAGAAGCACGCAAGCGCCUCUAACGGCUGUCAAGAGACAGCCACUCGAGGCUGGAUUAACCCAUUUAUAUACAUAGCAUUUUCUCUGAAACUGCUAUGUUUAUAAAAAAAAAGGGUUAACCCUAGCUGGACCUGGCACCCAGACCACUUCAUUAAGCUGAAGUGGUCUGGGUGCCUAUAGUGGUCCUUUAGUGUGAAUCGAUGCUGCACAAAUUUGUUUCAUAUGUUUGGCGCUUAGUUUGCCUCGAGACCUGCGUGUCUCAUUCUCUAUUGUUAUAUCGGAGAUCUGCGUAUCUCGACCGAUCAAUCAUUAUGUUUUAAAUCUGAAACCUGCGCGUUUCUUUGCACUCUACUUUUUUGAAACCCUG